rnacentral:rRNA from 1 species
GCAACGCCGCGUGAGGGAUGACGGCCUUCGGGUUGUAAACCUCUUUUAGUAGGGAAGAAGCGAAAGUGACGGUACCUGCAGAAAAAGCACCGGCUAACUACGUGCCAGCAGCCGCGGUAAUACGUAGGGUGCAAGCGUUGUCCGGAAUUAUUGGGCGUAAAGAGCUCGUAGGCGGUUUGUCGCGUCUGCUGUGAAAUCCCGAGGCUCAACCUCGGGCUUGCAGUGGGUACGGGCAGACUAGAGUGCGGUAGGGGAGAUUGGAAUUCCUGGUGUAGCGGUGGAAUGCGCAGAUAUCAGGAGGAACACCGAUGGCGAAGGCAGAUCUCUGGGCCGUAACUGACGCUGAGGAGCGAAAGCAUGGGGAGCGAACAGGAUUAGAUACCCUGGUAGUCCAUGCCGUAAACGUUGGGCGCUAGAUGUAGGGACCUUUCCACGGUUUCUGUGUCGUAGCUAACGCAUUAAGCGCCCCGCCUGGGGAGUACGGCCGCAAGGCUAAAACUCAAAGGAAUUGACGGGGGCCCGCACAAGCGGCGGAGCAUGCGGAUUAAUUCGAUGCAACGCGAAGAACCUUACCAAGGCUUGACAUACACCGGAAACGGCCAGAGAUGGUCGCCCCCUU